CAAAUCUCCAAAAAACGUACUCAGUUCGGAUUGUAGGCUGCAACCCGCCUGCAUGAAGUCGGAAUUGCUAGUAAUCGUAGAUCAGCAUGCUACGGUGAAUACGUUCCCGGGCCUUGUACACACCGCCCGUCAAACCAUGAGAGUUGGCAACACCCGAAGCCUGUAGCUUAACCGCAAGGACGGCGCAGUCGAAGGUGGGGUCGAUGAUUAGGGUUAAGUCGUAACAAGGUAGC
rnacentral:rRNA from 1 species